CCCAGUGCUACAAGGACCUCGGGAACGCCUCGGCGGCGGUGCUGUGGAUGGACCUCGCUUCGGAGCUGCAAGGGAACACCAAAGAGGAUGUAGAAAGCCAGAGGGAACUUGAGGAGAUGCGCUCGGUCUGGGAGGAAUAAUUUUGGCAAAACUCAUCCCAUUGCAGAGACAGUAAAAUUCCAAAUGGAUUUCACAAUCCUGAUAAUUCCAAGUACACUUCAAGGAUAAACAGCAAGAGCUUACAGGAAAAGACCCAGCAGCACAUCCAGGAAAACAUCUUGGAAUUAAUGGGAUAAAAUCGUGGUUUAUUUUCCUUUGCAGAGCACUGCAUGUGUUUGAUUUUAGGAUCCCUAAAAAUGUUACAUUCCUGAAAAACGGGGGGGAGUAUGGGGGUUUAUAGGUAGAAGUUGUGAUAUAAAAAUAUUUGUGGUUUUAUAUAUAUAUAUUUAUGGCAGAUAUAUGUGAGGUAGAUACUUUGUGAUAUAAGUAUGUAUUAUAUAUAUUUUAUAUAUGUGUGUAUAAAUAUAUAUAUAUAUAUAUAUUUAUUUAUAUAUAAUAUAUAUAUAUGCACAUAUAUAUUUUAUAUCACACACUCUGCCUAUUGGGAAGCCUUGCUGGUGAGCUCCCAAUUCAUUUCUGAGGAAAACUUAAGCCAAAUUUUUUUCUAGUUUAUUUGUAUUCUCUUUUCUGUAGUAAUUAAUGAUAUCAGUUGUAAUAACUGAUAAAAGCCUUUUGUGGAUGUUUUGGGGAGAUCAGUUUCCAAGUGGGACCAAAGAACAUUUCUGCACAAUCCAGACUGGAUUUUAAGAGGUUCGUUAGUGAAAGAAGCGAGGAAUAGAAUUUUGUUUAGGAUUUUGAAUUUAGGGUUUUCUCCCAGUGAUGUUUCUGUCUUCCCUCACAUGAGGCUGAAAACUUCUGUCCCUCCAAACCGUGCUGCUGUGGUUUAGAUGGAAUUACUGAGUUGGGGAAGUAGUUCUUGAUCAGAGAACAGGUUACAGGAGCGGGAAUAUCCUGUGGCAAAGAUGAUGUUUCACUGUGAUGAUCUUCUGCCACUGACCAGAUUCAUUCUCUUCGAAUUAAUUAUCUCCUGGACUAACGAGGUGAUGCUGAGAAGGUGAAGCCAACAACUGACAUUCCUCUUGCAGCUCCUGGGGACCAAACAGGAACAGGGAACUGUGCUGGAUGCUGACACAGAUGGGGAAGGAAAACGUCUUGUGGAAUUCCCCACAUCAAGGCUUUGUUCAUAUCCCUUAAAAUUCCAAUGGCAGCUACUGAACACUAAUUCCUGAGUGUCUGUUUCAUGCUGGGGGGGUUGUGAGGGGUUAAGUGAGGAAUGUGAGAGUAAAACAUUCCUGAAAUCACUUUUUUU